rnacentral:rRNA from 1 species
CAUUACUGAGCGCGAGGCCCCGCAGCGCGCACGCGCUGCGGCGGUUGACCCUCCACCCGUGUGAACUCUUAUCUGUUGCUUUGGCGGGCCGGGCUCGACCUGCCGGCUCCGGCUGGCGAGUGCCCGUCAGAGAAGCCCCAACUCGUGCUGUGAGUGUUGUCUGAGGAAAUGUGGAAUUAGUAAAACUUUCAACAACGGAUCUCUUGGCUCUGGCAUCGAUGAAGAACGCAGCGAAAUGCGAUAAGUAAUGUGAAUUGCAGAAUUUAGUGAAUCAUCGAAUCUUUGAACGCACAUUGCGCCCCCCGGCAUUCCGAGGGGCAUGCCUGUUCGAGCGUCAGAACACCCCUCAAGCCUAGCUUGGUCUUGGGGCUCGCCGGCUCGGCGGCCCCUAAACGCAGUGGCGGUGCUGGUGUGCUCUCCGCGUAGUCAUGUAUCUCGCGACAGAGUGGCGACGGCACCCGCCAGAACCCCAGUCUUUGGAUGACCUCGGAUCAGGUAGGGAUACCCGCUGAACUUAAGCAUAUC